rnacentral:sRNA from 1 species
UUGAAUGGCUUCCUGGAGUUUUCAGUUGGUGGUUUUAUAUUUUUGUUUUAAGAUCUUAGCAAAGCAAUGUCUCAAGAUGGCGCUUCUCAGUUCCAAGAAGUCAUUCGGCAAGAGCUAGAAUUAUCUGUGAAGAAGGAACUAGAAAAAAUACUCACCACAGCAUCAUCACAUGAGUUUGAGCACACCAAAAAAGACCUGGAUGGAUUUCGGAAGCUAUUUCAUAGAUUUUUGCAAGAAAAGGGGCCUUCUGUGGAUUGGGGAAAAAUCCAGAGACCCCCUGAAGAUUCAAUUCAACCCUAUGAAAAGAUAAAGGCCAGGGGCUUGCCUGAUAAUAUAUCUUCUGUGUUGAACAAACUAGUGGUGGUGAAACUCAAUGGUGGUUUGGGAACCAGCAUGGGCUGCAAAGGCCCUAAAAGUCUGAUUGGUGUGAGGAAUGAGAAUACCUUUCUGGAUCUGACUGUUCAGCAAAUUGAAGUGAGUAACAUUUAGCCUUUCUCAUGAGAUACUAAAAUAGUUUUUAGUUUUUAUCAUAAAUGUUAUAUUAUAAAAUGUAGCAGAUGUGAAUUUGAGCUAACCAAAGA